GUUGAUAAGGCACUGAUGUUUUUAGUUGUUGCUAAGAAAUCAGGGACUUUUCAACUCCCUGUGUCUUGCUAGUGUGCAGGUGCACAAGAAGCUGGGAGGGAGCACGGCCAGAGCAGUGGGCCCAAAUUGGGGAAUGGAAUAUUCCAUAUCAUACAUCGUCAGUAUAUAGAUGAGGGUUGGCCGGGAAGCUGUCUUACUUUUCCAGGAUCACGGUUUUGGGAUUUUCUCUCCUCUGGGAUCACUAGCUGGGAACAGGCUGGGUAUCAGUCAGCAGGUGGUAAGCAAUCAUGAUGCUUUCCAGAAUGGGACUGGAUGUUUUUUAUGGAUUUUCUUCAGAAAAAAGCCACUUCUGUGGCUUUCAUUCAGCCAAGAUCUCAGUACAGUGCAUAUACAAAGCUGAAUACAUUUCAUUUUGUGAGGUAUGGUAGGAACAGCAUCGGAAGUGCAAAGAGGUGUUAAUAGAGAGUCAGACUGAAGAUGAAGCUGAAUUAAUAUUAAUUUUGCUAUCAAGUGGGAAACCUGUGCAUUCCUGUGAUUUGACUGGGGAAAGGAGAGGCUAAGUGCUAGGGAUAAGGUGUGCAUAGAAUACCAUACAGUAUCAGGAGAUGGGCUUACUUGUUCUUGUAUGAAAUGGACAAUCUUAAGACAUCAAACCUGACUCAGGAAUAGUGGGAAUUGUAGCACCAAGACCUGGUGUUUCCAGGCUAGACCUUUUUUCCUUCCCUCUUCUGUGCGAGGAAUGGGCAAUGGGGUACAGCUAAUUCCCUCCUGAAGGAGCCAGGAGCAGCUGCAAACACCUCUCAGCAAAGCUGAAGACAGAAGACGAAGUGGAGGAACUGCUGACAGCAGAAUGUUAGAAGUUACAUCCAGAAAAGAAUCAGUGCGAUCUUAACCAGCUGCUGGCCUAACAAACAGAUUCUUGGAGAAUUUCCUAACCCUUGCUGCAUUUGAAAGAAGCUGCUGUGUCCCAUAAUUCAGGUAUUGACACUGCAUGCCUGGAAAGGGGGAAGUCAGAAAAUGUAGUGCAGUAAAGAGGAACCGUAGUCUUUGGACUGAAGUCACUGUUGAGGUAGGCUUUUACUUUAGAAAAAAAAUAAUUACCACAUUUAAUUUUUUUUUUGUUAAUAUCCACUAACUAAUGACUUUCAGCUGCUUCUCUCCUGCUGCAAAAGCAGGAAUGGGGUCAUUCUUUUUCCUAAGUUUGCAAAUUGAACCACUGUGCAAUGGAAAGACUACACGUACUUGAAAAAAAAAGUAUUUAUUGUAUUUGAUGUAAAACAAUAGUGUACAAAGUAAAAUGUGUUCACAAAUUUUUGUGUUUUAAAUUCUUGUCCUCUGAACCAAACAAUUAAGAUGUCUUCUGAUCAGUGGAGCGGUACGAUCCCAGGAAAGGAGAGCUACACUUGAUCUAUCACUGUGCAAAAGGAGCAGCAGGGGGUAUGGAAGGCAUUUUCAGAACAUGGAAGGUCUGACACUUCUGGUAAAAGUUAACCUAAACAAGACAGAGAGAGAAUGCUGAUCUUUGUUUUAACUUCAGUCCCAUCCUAUCACCAGGAUGAUGGCUGGUCACUUUUCACAGAUAAUUUCUGCUUCCAGUCAACCUCCCCCAGCCCCAUCCCCAAGUUUGGCUUUUUAAUUUGGCAUAGAAGUUACAAACAAAAUUUUAAGUACAGAAGAGAGUUUCAUCAAAUUUCAGAGGUUACUAAUGUUGGUCAAAUUACUGGAGUGCAUAAAAUCAUUCAAAUCAAGAGUCCUUGUAAUCUGCAAAUGGAAUGGCUGUAUCACCAAAGAGCAAGGAUAAACCCCAAAUCUCUUGUAUUAAAGAACUACCUAAAGCCACAGUGAAGGGUGUGUGUGUGGGGGUGUGUGUGUGUGUAGUUUGUUUUGUGCACAUGCGUUCUUGGUUACAGUGAGUCUCUGGGAGACAUAAAUACUGAGCGGUAAAUGUUUCUGUCAGCUGAUUGUUUUAGCAGUCACGUAAUCCUUCCUUUGAUGUCUUGGGUCAGUGAAAUCCUAGUACCAUCGGGGUUUAGUAGGAGAUAUAUUAAAAGAGUUUCUCUGUGAUCUUUCCUGCAAUGGAAACAGCAGUAGAAGUUAUUACUCUGUCACAGUAAAGGAGUAUCUGUGCAUUCUUGAUUGCCCCAGCUUUCCAAAUUGGGUUAUUUUUUAGGUUACCAGUAGAGCAUAACUGUGGUUACAGAGUUAACAAUGAUCUCUUGAUUUCUAGAGCUACCACAACGAGGUCUGGAGAAGAUGGGGAAGAUCCACAGUGCAAGCACAUUCUCUUGGUUAUUAGCAGGUUACUCUGAAAAUUAUGCUGGAGGAACUAUAGGAAGACAGUUCCUAGUACAGUAGUACCAGAACAAACUGCAUCUCUGUGUUUCUGGCCUUCAGACACUUGAAGGCAUCUACCAGAUUAAAAAUUGUUGAACGUAACUCAAGAUUCCUGUGGGUCCUCAAAAACUGGGAGCACACAAGCAAGUCUCAGCCCUACCUGUUUUAGAAGGUGACCCUCCUACCCUGUAAGUGAUAUCCUGGUACCCUACAGUCUGAUCCACCUUUCCCAAAAAGUCUUGUUGGCAGGCACAGUUCUUUGUACAGAGGAACAACAUGGCUGUCCAUAAACAAACUUGCUUUCGUGUUAUCUAUCAUCUACUGUAUUUCAAAUAACUAAAAUAAACACCACAAAUUCAGAUGGAACUCAUUAUCAAGUACUGCUACAUGUACAGGAUUGGACAGGAGAAAAUUAAGAUUUCUGCUUGGUACCAAUUAGAAAAUUAUGAUUUUGCUAAAUUAAAUGCCUGAAUUUUGAUACCACAAAUCAACUGUAAAGUUAUGUGAACAACCAGGGCAAUCAGUCCAUCAGAUGAGUUAUAUCAUUAAGGAAAAAUCUGAGGUAUGCUGUACUUGGAAGAGACCUUCAUACCAAUCCUAAUUGCCUAUGUGUUAAAAAUGCAUGUAUAGACACUGUAAGGUUACCUCUGACUACUCAAAUAGACUGAAAAAUGGGGAAUAUAUUUGCAAGUUACCAGUUUAUAGCCUGCAGCAAUCUUUAUUUCAUGAAUAUUCCUUGCAAUUCUGCUUCUUCUCUGGUGAUCCCUCCCCAUUAAGUUAAGAAACAAGAUAGAUUAUGUAUGAUAUUAAACAGCUUCUUCCUG